GAUGAACGCUGGCGGCGUGCCUAAUACAUGCAAGUCGAGCGAACGGACGAGAAGCUUGCUUCUCUGAUGUUAGCGGCGGACGGGUGAGUAACACGUGGCUAACCUACCUAUAAGACUGGGAUAACUUCGGGAAACCGGAGCUAAUACCGGAUAAUAUUUUGAACCGCAUGGUUCAAAAGUGAAAGACGGUCUUGCUGUCACUUAUAGAUGUAUCCGCGCUGCAUUAGCUAGUUGGUAAGGUAACGGCUUACCAAGGCAACGAUGCAUAGCCGACCUGAGAGGGUGAUCGGCCACACUGGAACUGAGACACGGUAAAGACUCCUACGGGAGGAAGCAGUAGGGAAUAUUCCGCAAUGGGCGAAAGCAUGACGGAGCAACGCCGCGUGAGUGAUGAAGGUCUUCGGAUCGUAAAACUCUGUUAUUAGGGAAGAACAUAUGUGUAAGUAACUGUGCACAUCUUGACGGUACCUAAUCAGAAAGCAACGGCUAACUACGUG
rnacentral:rRNA from 1 species